ensembl:misc_RNA Metazoa_SRP Metazoan signal recognition particle RNA
GUCGGGUGCGGUGGUGCAUGCCUGUAGUCCCAGCUACUGGGGAAGCUGAGGUGGGAGGAUCGCUUGAGCUCAAGAGUUCUGGGCUGUAGUGUGCUAUGCCAAUUGGGUGUCCGCACUAAGUUCGGCAUCCAUGUGGUGACUUCCCAGGAGUGGGGGACCACCAGGUUGCCUAAGGAGGGGUGAACCGGCCCAGGUCGGAAACAGAGCAGGUCAAAACUCCUGUGCUGAUCAGUAGUGGGAUCGCGCCUGUGAAUAGCCACUGCACUCCAGCCUGGGCAACAUAGCGAGACCCCAUCUCAA